rnacentral:rRNA from 1 species
GACGAACGCUGGCGGCGCGCUUAACACAUGCAAGUCGAGCGAGAACCAGGGCUUCGGCCCUGGGGACAGCGGCGAACGGGUGAGUAACACGUGGGUAAUCUGCCCUCAGCACCGGAAUAGCCCGGGGAAACCCGGAUUAAUGCCGGAUGGCCCCUUCACCUCGUGAGGUGUCGGGAAAAGGUAGCUUCGUCCUCCGGCCGAGGAUGAUCCCGCGGACUGAUUAGCUUGUUGGCGGGGUAACGGCCCACCAUCGUGACGAUCCGUCGCGGGUCUGAGAGGACGAUCAGCCACACUGGGACGGGGACACGGCACAGACUCCUACAGGAGGCAGCAGUGAAGAAUCUGGCGCAAUGGGCGAAAGCCUGACGCAGCGACGCCGCGUGAGGGAAGAAGGCCUUCGGGUUGUAAACCUCUUUCAGGAGGGACGAAGCUACUCGGGUGAAUAGCCCAGAGGGUGACGGUACCUCCAGAAGAAGCCCCGGCUAACUACGUGCCAGCAGCCGCAGUAAGAC